AUUGAACGCUGGCGGCAGGCCUAACACAUGCAAGUCGAGCGGAUGAAGGGAGCUUGCUCCUGGAUUCAGCGGCGGACGGGUGAGUAAUGCCUAGGAAUCUGCCUGGUAGUGGGGGAUAACGUCCGGAAACGGGCGCUAAUACCGCAUACGUCCUGAGGGAGAAAGUGGGGGAUCUUCGGACCUCACGCUAUCAGAUGAGCCUAGGUCGGAUUAGCUAGUUGGUGGGGUAAAGGCCUACCAAGGCGACGAUCCGUAACUGGUCUGAGAGGAUGAUCAGCCACACUGGAACUGAGACACGGCCCAGACUCCUACGGGAGGCAGCAGUGGGGAAUUUUGGACAAUGGGCGAAAGCCUGAUCCAGCCAUGCCGCGUGUGUGAAGAAGGUCUUCGGAUUGUAAAGCACUUUAAGUUGGGAGGAAGGGCUGUAAGUUAAUACCUUGCUGUGAUGACGUUACCGGCAGAAUAAGCACCGGCUAACUUCGUG
rnacentral:rRNA from 1 species